AUUGUACUCCAUCUGGGAUUGGACUGCCUGAGAAUUGCAGGGUCACAGUUCGUCUUACAGCCUAUACAGGAAUCCCCUAAACCUGGCUGAUCAAUCAGGUGGUAAACAAGACAACACAUUACUACCAUUUUAUUUUCCUUAGCUAAGAAUUUGUAGAUGGGUUUCCAGUCUAAUGUCUUGCCCCUCCCUCUCCAUGUCUCUAUGAACAAUGCCUAUUAAUAUCCAGAGUACAUUUUUUUGAUCUAUAACACCACCCCACUGCUCCAAAUACAUAGCAAAUAAAUAAAUUCUACAAAAAAACUGCAGUUAUAUUCAUUAAAUGAAAUGGAUAUAUUAAAAUGGACUGAAAAGUAUAAGAAUGACAGCACAUGAGAAUAUAAACAAGUUAUUUGUAAUUGCAUACACAUAACCAUACAUUUCUACCAUUUUAUUUUCCUUUGCAAAGAGUUUGUAGAUCAAUAAAGAUAGCAGUUUAAAAAUAAUCACGCAAUUCUCAUUGUACAAUUGACAUAAUUAUAGCACUAUACUGGUUAAAUUGUACAUAAAAUGCUUUUUACGUUGAGCAUUGUCAAUCACAAAAAAAAUCAAAUUAACAUGAUUAGACAAGUUUUAAUUAUCAAAUCCAAUUACCAUAAUGGCCAUAUAUUUGCCACUGAAAUUCUUGAUCCUAUAAAGUGCUUUCGAUGGGAAAUGUUCAUAUCUUGUGAAAUAUCGCAAGACAUUCUGUAGUUCGUUAUUUUUCUGAUUGUCAUUUGUUUUACUUGGAUGAAACUAUUGUUUUAUGUGUGAUUUGAUUGACAGACAGUGCAUUUUCAUACAUCAUAAAGUGCAAAAAUAUGCUUUUCAAAACAAUAAUCAAAAUUCAACUCUCCAUCACUCUUGGCACCCAGAUUUAAUUGAUUAAUAAUCCUAUUUUUUCACAGAAUUCUAUGUAAAAUAUACAAUAAAUUAACAUAGCUUAUGAUAU